rnacentral:rRNA from 1 species
ACUCAAAGGAAUUGACGGGGGCCCGCACAAGCGGCGGAGCAUGCGGAUUAAUUCGAUGCAACGCGAAGAACCUUACCUGGGUUUGACAUAUACCGGAAAGCUGCAGAGAUGUAGCCCCCGCAAGGUCGGUAUACAGGUGGUGCAUGGCUGUCGUCAGCUCGUGUCGUGAGAUGUUGGGUUAAGUCCCGCAACGAGCGCAACCCUCGUCCUAUGUUGCCAGCGGAUAAUGCCGGGGACUCAUAGGAGACUGCCGGGGUCAACUCGGAGGAAGGUGGGGAUGACGUCAAGUCAUCAUGCCCCUUAAGUCCAGGGCUUCACGCAUGCUACAAUGGCUGGUACAAAGGGCUGCAAAACCGCAAGGUCGAGCGAAUCCCAAAAAGCCAGUCUCAGUUCGGAUUGGGGUCUGCAACUCGACCCCAUGAAGUCGGAGUCGCUAGUAAUCGCAGAUCAGCAACGCUGCGGUGAAUACGUUCCCGGGCCUUGUACACACCGCCCGU